GCUGUUUUAGCUCAGUUGGUAGAGCACUUCCUUGGUAAGGAAGAGGUCGCUGGUUCAAAUCCAGUAAACAGCUCCA
rnacentral:tRNA from 1 species